AUUGAACGCUGGCGGCAGGCCUAACACAUGCAAGUCGAGCGGAUGAAGGGAGCUUGCUCCUGGAUUCAGCGGCGGACGGGUGAGUAAUGCCUAGGAAUCUGCCUGGUAGUGGGGGAUAACGUCCGGAAACGGGCGCUAAUACCGCAUACGUCCUGAGGGAGAAAGUGGGGGAUCUUCGGACCUCACGCUAUCAGAUGAGCCUAGGUCGGAUUAGCUAGUUGGUGGGGUAAAGGCCUACCAAGGCGACGAUCCGUAACUGGUCUGAGAGGAUGAUCAGUCACACUGGAACUGAGACACGGUCCAGACUCCUACGGGAGGCAGCAGUGGGGAAUAUUGGACAAUGGGCGAAAGCCUGAUCCAGCCAUGCCGCGUGUGUGAAGAAGGUCUACGGAUUGUAAAGCACUUUAAGUUGGGAGGAAGGGCAGUAAGUUAAUACCUUGCUGUUUUGACGGUACCAACAGAAUAAGCACCGGCUAACUUCGUG
rnacentral:rRNA from 1 species